AAUUCCGCUUUAGACGUGGAAGAAUGUAUGAAUAGAGUUUCGUGUAUUUUGCAAAAUUCUCCAAUUUGUGGAGUUAAUAUCAGCGGCCAAAAAAUGUUUUCAAGUCCGUGUGCUAUGGAAGCUGAAAAUUCUUGUCUUCCACAAAAUGAACAAUACAAGAGGUGUAAUAAUUAAAUUGAAUACAAAAUGAGACUUCUUUGACUUUUGAGAAUCUGUUUUUCAUUACAUUUAAAAUUAUUUUUGUUUGGUAUUUUUAAAGUCUAAAAGUAAUAAAAUAAAGGGAAGUUAUUUUGUUUUUUAUGUCAUUUAAGCAUCAGUC